GACGAACGCUGGCGGCGUGCCUAAUACAUGCAAGUCGAACGCAGUGGGGACGGGUGAGUAACACGUGGGUAACCUCCCAUCAGAGGGGAUAACACUUGGAAACAGGUGCUAAACCGAUACUGAUGGAUGGACCCGCGGUGCAUUAGCUAGUUGGUGAGGUAACGGCUCACCAAGGCCACGAUGCAUAGCGGCACUGAAGGGCUGAUCGGCCGAACUGGGACUGUGACACGGCCCAGACGCCUACGAGAGGCAGCGGUGGGGAAGCGUGGGCAAUGGACGAAAGUCUGACCGAGCAACGCCGCGUGAUUGAAGAAGGGUUUCAGAUUGUAAAACUCUGUUGUUAGAGAGGCGGUAUCUGACGAGAAAGCCACGGCUAACUACGUGCCAGCAGCCGCGGUAAUAC
rnacentral:rRNA from 1 species